rnacentral:rRNA from 1 species
GACAGAGGGUGCAAACGUUGUUCGGAAUUACUGGGCGUAAAGCGCGUGUAGGCGGCCAACUAAGUCGGGCGUGAAAUCCCACGGCUCAACCGUGGAAGUGCACUCGAAACUGGAUGGCUAGAGUCCUGGAGAGGAAGGUGGAAUGCUUGGUGUAGAGGUGAAAUUCGUAGAUAUCAAGCGGAACACCGGUGGCGAAGGCGGC